UUAAAAAAUAACAAAAAAAACAAAAAUUAAAUAAAAAAAUGGAUAUUCGGAUAUCUGAAAUUUCGGAUACAUAUUUGAAUAGUGAAAUUUGGUAUCCGAAAAUUUCAGAUAUCCGGUUUUGAACACCUCUACUUAUAAUACAAGAAACUCACUCACAUAAAUAUAAGGGAUCUAUUAUGAAUGGUAUAAAAAAUGUACAAGUUCAACCUUAACAAAUUUAUAUUGAAAAGACUUUGUAACAAAAAACGAUCAUGUUUAAUUGGCUAUACUUUUAUUUGAGUGUAAAAGUAUAAUCGAAUAUUAGGAACCAUGGCACAUAAAUUCACUUUCACCGUCUGAUUGUUAAAGGAUUGCACAUAAAUUCACUUUCACCGUCUGAUUGUUAAAGGAUUUGCUUUCAUGUGAUAUAUAUAUUUUUUUCUCUCUCUCUCUCUCUCUGUUUUUUUUUAAUUUUUGACCCGGAAAAGUAUUUCUUAUCAGAGAAGUAAAGUUAUCUAUUUUACAGUUUUUCAGUGCGUUAUCUAUUUUAUACCUUUUCAGUGAACUUGGUUGGUGACAACUUCAUCAUUAUCGAACUAUAUCGUUGAACGUAUGUAUUUUUAUCUCUGUUUCGGUGUAAAUUUCAUUCGAAAAGAGUCGUGUAUAGUAAGUAAUGUAUAAGUCAUCGAAGUAUAAACGUAUAGGUUGUCAAAUCUGUAUGUUUCAAUUGUUCUGUAGUUUACUUUUUAUUUUCCACUUACAACUUUUUAAAUGAAAUUUUUAAUAAAUUUUGGAUUUUACAUUGUCAAGUGCUUAUUUUUAUCUGCGUUUUGGCGUGAAUUUUCGUAACGUUAUUUUUUAACCGGCCAAUUGUUUUAGACGUUCUUUUAAACCGUACAAAUAUUUAAUGGUUUUAGAUGUACCUGGGCACACAAGUUUAAUAUUAUGGUUUUACGUGAAGUUUAAGGUUUUCUUAUAUAAAGUUUCGUAAAACAUGUUAGUGAUUUUACGGUUUUGAUGUAUCUGGGCACACAAGUUUAAUACUAGUUUACAAUUAAAAAGAUAAUCUCGAACAUGAAAUCGGAGAUGAAAACCGCAAGAUAGAAAUACAAUUCUACUUUUGGUUGUCACAUGAAGAAGAAGAAACAACGAAUAAAAUAUAUUUUCACAGUUUUGUUUUUACAUCAAUAUCUAUGAAACUUUUUAUACUCUCAUUCUAUUCUUUCAACAAAUAAAAUUUACUUUGCCAGUUAUGUUUUUACAACAACAUUUGUGAAACUUUUUGUAUUUUUUAUCAUAUUAUCUAUCUCUUAUACUAAAGCAAAAUAAUGUUGACUUUUUGACCUUGAUGUGGCAAUGCUCUCUGGCCAGAGAAUUGUUAUUUGAGUGCCAAUUCUAUUUCCUUCUUCCUACCUACGCUUUCUUCAAUUUGGAAACCUAAUCAAUUCUCUCAAUCAGUUGAAUCUCCAGGCAAAUUGAUUUCUCUUUACAUUCACACGGCUUCUCAAAACAUCACACGUUCAAUUUUACAACCCUAAAUCUCAUCUACGGCUUCAUCUGUAGCGAUUGUACCUGGCCAUACCCACUUCAGAAAUCCCUAAAUCUCAAGCAUUCGAACUCUCAUCUAGGCAUGUUUUCUCUUUUUUGAUGUUGUCUGUAUUUGGUAAUCUAGAUGCGAAACCCUAAUUGGUAUCGAAAUACAGAGAGUGUGAUGUGGUGUGAACUUGGAUGCACUUUUGAGGUACACCAGUCUGAUGAUGAUAGGAGGAAUCGGGUAUCUUACUGAGUCUCACACACACAAAUGAGAAAAGAGGAAUUAUGUCUUCUUUGAAAUUUCACUUUUAAAGGAAUGGAUUUGGACAGCGGUCACCCUAUGCGCUUGGUUGACAUAAAAUGAUUGUGUUUUAAAGCAAGCGAACUAAUCGAAUACAAUCACCAACCUACGCUUUCGUUUAUUCUUUUCCUUCUCGAUCAAUCGUUCCUUCUGGUUUAUCCUUCAUCAUCCAAUUUUAAGAUUAUAAGAGAUGAAGAUCUUGAAGAGUUAAAGGAGCUUGGCUACAAUAUAUAUGAGACAGUUUACCAUGAAAAUUUGAGGGGAACUGAUGUGACAACUAAGCAAAUAAAAAGAGCUGUUUUGCAGCUCGAUUAUAUGAACAAGAGAGAUUGGUUAGUUAUUUAUAUUUUCUUUCACUAAUUAUCAAUUUGUGCAACUCAGGAUUUGUAUUCUUCAUUAACUCAUUUGUUUCAUGCUUAUGAUUUGAUUCCGGACAUAUGGGUUUUGGCGAGAAACAUAUAUUCUUUUAAAGCUUCACCAUCUAUGGCAUCACAUAAUUAAAGACUU
rnacentral:lncRNA from 1 species